rnacentral:lncRNA from 1 species
CUGUCUUUUUAGGGCCACACCCACGGCAUAUGGAAGUUACCACACUAGGGGUCGAAUCAGAGCAUAGCUGUCAGCCUACACUACAGCCACCACAGCACCACAAGAUCCGACCCCUGUCUGCGACCUACACCACAGCUCGCGGAAACGCCGGAUCCUUAACCCACUGAGUGAGGCCAGGGAUAGAAUUCAUGUCCUCAGGGACACUAGUCAGGUUUGUCACCACUGAGCCACAAUGGGAAAUCCUCUUUACAUCUUUAUCUUUCUAUCAAGGAGCUUGUGGGAUUUUUUUUCCUUUAUCACUGAAUUCAGGAAUUUUAUCAGAACAUGCCUAGCUUUGUGACUUUUCUCAUCAAUUUUGUCUGGAACCCAGUGAACUCAUUCAAUCUUCAAUUUUUGUUCGACUCAGGGAAAUUUUUUCUAUUACUUAUUUCUCCUUCUAAAAUUAUUAUUAUUUGCAUUUUUGGUUUCCUGGAUCUAUCCUGCAAGCCCAACUUUCAUGAGUUUCCAUUCCAACUCUUGGUAUUUUUGUUCUAAGCUUUGAAACUGUUAUUUUACUUGAACUGAGUUUAAAAAAAGAGAGGACAGAAGAGAUGUGCUCAAGCUGCCAUUUUCCCAGAAUCAUUUCAUAGAGGGAUGUUUAAAGGCUAUCUUAUCACUCAAAUAGGAGGGGAAAAUGUCUUUAAGUGCUCAAGAGAUAAUUACUUAAAAAUUAAUAUUUAAAAAUUAAAUUUAAAACCCAAAUAGCUAUUUGUUAGAAAUUACUGGAUUGAAAGCUCCUUGAAAGCAGAAAUCUGCCUUCUAUGCAUCUCUCACCCUCUCAACAGAUCUCGUUAAUAAAUGUGCUCAAUACAUCUUUAUUGAUAUAUUGAUAUACUGAGCAUCUUACAUGUUCCAAAAGGUUGAAACCUUGUCCCUAUACCCAGAAAAUCUAAAGUCUAACAAGGAGGCAAAAUAACUUAAAUGAAACAAAGAAAUAGCCAAUCAGUUAAGUCUUAAUGGUUACUGAAUACAAUAGCCUAAAAAUAGAAGAGAUUAAUAAGGACUAAAGUAGUCAGCUGGUUUCAUGACAAAAAGGACAUCAACCAGGGCACGAAACAGGGGUAAAUUUCAGUAGGAGAAAAGAAAAUAAUCACUGCAAAGGCACAGAGAUGGGAAUGAGCAAGUCAGGGAAAAGGGUGAGGAAACCAGUCUGUGAAGAAGAGUCUGUCAGCUUACUAGUACGGAAGAAUAUAGACAGGGCAGUUGAUGGUGGAGUUCAGAUUCAUUCACUUGUCAAAUAAGUACGGAAAAGCACUUAUGCUGAAGGAUGCUGCAUGCCAGCCUCAAGCAGCUUAAAAAAAUACUAAAAAAAAAAAAAAUAAAAAAAAAUAAUAAAGCAGCUUACAAAGAGAUAAGGAUACUUAUGCAAAUGAUCAUUUUAUAACCUUAAGAUCAUUGGAAAAAUAGCUAUAAUAUAGGAGUUACAUUAGAGACUAGAGCUCAGAGAACCGACAAAUGAGGAAGCUGUCUUUUUUAAAACAGGAAAUGCAUCUUCCAGGACUUCCCUUUGUCUCCUUGAAGAAAAAAGUAAGCAAAGAACCAUGGGAAGAAAACUCAUAUCAAUGCUUUUGCUAACAUGUUCAAUUCAAAAAUGAAAGUUUGGGAUUUCCCGUCAUGGCAAUGUCACAACGGAAACGAAUCCAACUAGUAUCCAUGAGGAUUCGGAUUCGAUCCCUGGCUUCACUCAGUCGGUUGGAGAUCCAGCAUUGCUGUGAGCUGUAGUGUAGGUUGCAAACUCAGCUUGUGUUGCUGUGGCUGUGGUGUAGGCCGGCAGCUCUGAUUCAACCCCUAGCCUGGGCACUUCCAUACGCUGAGAUGUAGCCGUAAAAAGACGUGACUAAAGAAAGAAAGAUUGAUUCUCCAAAUAAGAAAGGAAAUCCAAUAAACUAAGAAUGACAACUCUUUACAAUUUUAAGAAAAAAAAAAAAAACUGUAACUAUGUAUGGUGAUGAAUGUUAAUGAAAUUUAUUGAGGUGAUAAUUUCCCAAUGUACAGAAAUAUCAAGUGAUUAUGUUGUAUACCUGAAACUAACGAAAUGCUGUAUGUCAAGUACACCUCAAUCAAAAAAAGGAAAAAAAACUGAAAACAGCCUUCUUGCUUCUGUCACAGAUUUCUUAAACAAGAAAUUAUCAGGGGAGUUCCCGUCUUAGAGCAGUGGUUAACGAAUCUGACUAGGAACCAUAAGGUUGCGGGUUCGGUCCCUGCCCUUGCUCAGUGGGUUAACGAUCCGGCAUUGCCCUGAGCUGUUGUGGUGUAGGUUGCAGACUCGGCUUGGAUCCCGCGUUGCUGUGGCUCUGGCGUAGGCCAGUGGCUAUAGCUCCGAUUGGACCCCUAGCCUGGGAACCUCCAUAUGCCGAGGGAGCGGCCCAAGAAAUAGCAAAAAGCCAAAAAAAAAAAAAAAAAAAAAGAAAUUAUCAGAAACUUCUUCUAACGAUUCCUGCUGGGUUUGUUUUUUAUAAAGGAGAUUCAGUGACAAGACUGGCCAGCCCUGUGAUGCAUUUCAUACCUGACCUGAGUUAAAAGCCACAAGUUCCAAUCUAUGAAUAAAUUGAGACAUCAUAACCCAAGGUCCUUAAAAAGAAAAAAAUCCUACAGCUACUUUAAUCACUAAAAGCGAAAGUCCUCUGAAAAGAAAGGAAUAACAGAGCACUAUUCCUUCACAAAAAAAGACAUAACUCCAAGAAAAAUCAAUUAAAGUACAUGUCAUUUACAGAAAUAUCUACAUUAAACAUUAGUUUUUAUAAUGAACAUUAAAUAGCCUAAGGAAAAAAAGAAACAUUAAAACCUUUUUCUGAACCAGAAUAUAACUAUUAACACUCUAUCUGCAGUCCAGAACACACCGACCACCUUUCAAAGACACCAGACCUGUGGAUUUUCAUUUAGGGCUGUGCUGUGCAGCAUAUUUCCUUCUGGAUUCCCCCUUUUCAGUUUCUCAUCAUCCCCACCUCAAUUCAAGGAAGAAAAAUUAAUUUCACAUCAAAAUAUACGUACAGGAGUUCCCAUCGUGACUCAGAGGUUAGUGAACCCAACUAGCAUCCAUGAGGACACGGGUUUGAUCACUGGCCUCGCUCAGUGUGUUAAGGAUCCAGCUUUGCCGUGAACUGUGGUAUGGGUUGCAGAUGCAGCUCGGAACCCGAGUUGCUGUGGCUGUGGUGCAGGCCAGCAGCUGCAGCUCCCAUUCAACCCCUAGCCUGGGAACCUCCAUAUGCCACGGAGAAAGGCAGUGUGUACAAAGGUGUGGAAGUGAAAAAGCACUGUGUAUUCAGCAGAGUACAAGUCAUUCAGCACAGCUAAGGAGGAGAGCAAAAACCUGGAAGGCACAGGAAGUGGGGCUAAAAAGGCAGGCAGGGCUUGAUAUACAAAGGACGUUUGGAUUUUACCCUGUGGAUAAGAAAAGCCAACGAAAAAUUUUAAAUGGGAAAAAGGACUCAAUUAGAUCAGUGUUUUAGAAUGAUCAUUCCAUCAGAGACUACAGAAGGAUGAACUGGAGGGAGAAGAGACUGAAGGCAGGUGGACAAGUUAGACUACUGCAGUAGUCUUAGCAAAAGACAGUAAGAACCUGAACAAAGACUGAAACAACGUGAAUGGAAAGGAGGAAGUCGGAAACAACAGGACUGAGUGACCCUCUUAGAGGUGGACAUUCUGAAGCAGGGAGUAUUUCUGGAACAGGCUGAAACAAGGAGUAUGGUUUUGGACAUACUAAGUUAUAGCUGUCUGGGGGCGGGAAAUCAAUGGGACGUGGAGCAGAGAGGAGUCAGGGCCAGAGACACAGGCUAGGGAGCCAUCACCUCCCAGCCAUGAUAGCUGAAGCUCUGAGCACAGAUGAGAUUAUUCAGCAAGUGUAUGUAAAAUGAGGUGAAGGCUAAUGACAGGUAUCAGGAACACCCACACCAGGAGGAAGAGAGAGAAAAAGAAGGAACAGUUAGGGAGCUAGAAGGAAAUGACACCAUAGAAGCUAAAAAGGGAGGGAGUUUGAUAAAGAUAACAGUCCAUGGUGUCCAAUGUUGCAGAGAAAGAUGCUGUAUAUACAGUGGGCACUUUUCAGUCUGAAAUCAGAACUCACUGGUGGCCUCGGAGACAGUUGUUUUUCAAGGGCUUGAUGGGGCAGAAGCAAUGGACUGAGGAGUGAGCAAAGGUAGGAAAGAAGACAAAGGAAACUUAGGCUCUACUUUCUAGGAUCUAUGAGAGGAAGAGAACAAGAGCACACAAGAACAAACAGAUUCUAAUACAAGAUCAGUGUUUCAGAAUGGGAAGACACUUUUCUUACGAUGGGAGGAGCUUCCGUAUAUUUAUAGGCUGAAGGGAAGGAGCCAAGUGUUAAGUGAGAGGUUAAAGAUGAGAGGAAAAGACAAAAGACUACAAAUGAAUAGAUCAAUCAAUGAAGUAAGAUCCCAAGAUCCCAGAAGAGAAGGGAUGGGACUGAGAUCACAGUCAGGAGGAAGGUAGUUCUUCCUCUGAGAAAAGAAGGAAAGGGGCUAAGAGUGGGAACAGAUAGAGAAACGUUUGUGGGUGUAGAAGAGGAGGAAGCACAGGGAGUUUGGCUUUCUGUAAAAGCCAGUAAGAAUGAAAAGCAGUAAUAUGUAGACGGGGUUCUUAACUUUGCGUCACAGACCUUUUUAGGAAACUGAUGAAAGCUGGAGACUCUGCUCUCCAAAAAGGCACAUGAGCAGUCAAAAUUCUGCACAUAAUUUCACAGUCUCCAGGUCCACUGAAACCAGCCCAGGUAUCCAAAGAUUCUGUCAGCUGUGAUGCUAUGAAAUUCCACAGAAAUGGUCCUUCAGAAGACAUUUUGUUCACAGAAGAGCAUCCCCAGAAGAAAGUAACUUAUUCAUCAUAAAAACAGUUCCCACUGUGGCUCAGCGGGUUAAGAAUUCGACUAGUAUCCAUAAGGAUGUGGGGUCGAUCCCUAGCCUCAUUCAGUGGGUUAAGGAGCUGGCGUUGCGGUGAGCUGUGGGUGAGCUGUGGUGUAGAUUGCAGACGCAGCUUGGACCCUGCGCUGCUGUGGCUGUGCUGUAGGCUGACAGCUAUAGGCCCAAUUCAACCCCUAUCCUGGAAACUUCUAUAUGCCUGCCACAGGAGCAGCCCUAAAAAGAAAAAAACAAAGAGACAAACUAUUUGAUGUGCACAAAAGCACUAAGACACUAGGGAUAAAGGAUACAGGAGACUGUUCCUGCCUUGGAAAACAAAACUUGGAACUUAGAGACAAUGAAUGACAGAGUCUUGGAUUUAACAACAGCUUUAACUAAAAGUAGUAUUUAAAAAAAAAAAAAAAAAUUGGGGGAGUUCUCAUUGUGGCGCAACGGAAACAAAUCCAACUAGUAACCAUAAGGUUGCAGGUUCCAUCUUUGGCCUUGCUCAGUGGGUUAAGGAUCUGGCACUACUGUGAGCUAUGGUGUAGGUCACAAACACGGCUCAGAUCCCAUGUUGCUGUGGCUAUGGCACAGGUCAGCAGCUAAAGCUCUGACUCGACCCCUAGCCUGGGAAUCUCCAUAUGCCUUGGGUGCGGCCCUAAAAA